rnacentral:rRNA from 1 species
GGUUAAGCGACUAAGCGUACACGGUGGAUGCCCUGGCAGUCAGAGGCGAUGAAGGACGUGCUAAUCUGCGAUAAGCGUCGGUAAGGUGAUAUGAACCGUUAUAACCGGCGAUUUCCGAAUGGGGAAACCCAGUGUGUUUCGACACACUAUCAUUAACUGAAUCCAUAGGUUAAUGAGGCGAACCGGGGGAACUGAAACAUCUAAGUACCCCGAGGAAAAGAAAUCAACCGAGAUUCCCCCAGUAGCGGCGAGCGAACGGGGAGGAGCCCAGAGCCUGAAUCAGUGUGUGUGUUAGUGGAAGCGUCUGGAAAGGCGCGCGAUACAGGGUGACAGCCCCGUACACAAAAAUGCACAUAUUGUGAGCUCGAUGAGUAGGGCGGGACACGUGGUAUCCUGUCUGAAUAUGGGGGGACCAUCCUCCAAGGCUAAAUACUCCUGACUGACCGAUAGUGAACCAGUACCGUGAGGGAAAGGCGAAAAGAACCCCGGCGAGGGGAGUGAAAAAGAACCUGAAACCGUGUACGUACAAGCAGUGGGAGCCUCUUAAUGGGGUGACUGCGUACCUUUUGUAUAAUGGGUCAGCGACUUAUAUUCUGUAGCAAGGUUAACCGAAUAGGGGAGCCGAAGGGAAACCGAGUCUUAACUGGGCGUUAAGUUGCAGGGUAUAGACCCGAAACCCGGUGAUCUAGCCAUGGGCAGGUUGAAGGUUGGGUAACACUAACUGGAGGACCGAACCGACUAAUGUUGAAAAAUUAGCGGAUGACUUGUGGCUGGGGGUGAAAGGCCAAUCAAACCGGGAGAUAGCUGGUUCUCCCCGAAAGCUAUUUAGGUAGCGCCUCGUGAAUUCAUCUCCGGGGGUAGAGCACUGUUUCGGCAAGGGGGUCAUCCCGACUUACCAACCCGAUGCAAACUGCGAAUACCGGAGAAUGUUAUCACGGGAGACACACGGCGGGUGCUAACGUCCGUCGUGAAGAGGGAAACAACCCAGACCGCCAGCUAAGGUCCCAAAGUCAUGGUUAAGUGGGAAACGAUGUGGGAAGGCCCAGACAGCCAGGAUGUUGGCUUAGAAGCAGCCAUCAUUUAAAGAAAGCGUAAUAGCUCACUGGUCGAGUCGGCCUGCGCGGAAGAUGUAACGGGGCUAAACCAUGCACCGAAGCUGCGGCAGCGACACUAUGUGUUGUUGGGUAGGGGAGCGUUCUGUAAGCCUGUGAAGGUAGCCUGUGAGGGUUGCUGGAGGUAUCAGAAGUGCGAAUGCUGACAUAAGUAACGAUAAAGCGGGUGAAAAGCCCGCUCGCCGGAAGACCAAGGGUUCCUGUCCAACGUUAAUCGGGGCAGGGUGAGUCGACCCCUAAGGCGAGGCCGAAAGGCGUAGUCGAUGGGAAACAGGUUAAUAUUCCUGUACUUGGUGUUACUGCGAAGGGGGGACGGAGAAGGCUAUGUUGGUCGGGCGACGGUUGUCCCGGUUUAAGCGUGUAGGCUGGUUUUCCAGGCAAAUCCGGAAAACCAAGGCUGAGGCGUGAUGACGAGGCACUACGGUGCUGAAGCGACAAAUGCCCUGCUUCCAGGAAAAGCCUCUAAGCAUCAGGUAACAUCAAAUCGUACCCCAAACCGACACAGGUGGUCAGGUAGAGAAUACCAAGGCGCUUGAGAGAACUCGGGUGAAGGAACUAGGCAAAAUGGUGCCGUAACUUCGGGAGAAGGCACGCUGAUAUGUAGGUGAAGCGACUUGCUCGUGGAGCUGAAAUCAGUCGAAGAUACCAGCUGGCUGCAACUGUUUAUUAAAAACACAGCACUGUGCAAACACGAAAGUGGACGUAUACGGUGUGACGCCUGCCCGGUGCCGGAAGGUUAAUUGAUGGGGUUAGCGGUAACGCGAAGCUCUUGAUCGAAGCCCCGGUAAACGGCGGCCGUAACUAUAACGGUCCUAAGGUAGCGAAAUUCCUUGUCGGGUAAGUUCCGACCUGCACGAAUGGCGUAAUGAUGGCCAGGCUGUCUCCACCCGAGACUCAGUGAAAUUGAACUCGCUGUGAAGAUGCAGUGUACCCGCGGCAAGACGGAAAGACCCCGUGAACCUUUACUAUAGCUUGACACUGAACAUUGAGCCUUGAUGUGUAGGAUAGGUGGGAGGCUUUGAAGUGUGGACGCCAGUCUGCAUGGAGCCGACCUUGAAAUACCACCCUUUAAUGUUUGAUGUUCUAACGUUGGCCCGUAAUCCGGGUUGCGGACAGUGUCUGGUGGGUAGUUUGACUGGGGCGGUCUCCUCCUAAAGAGUAACGGAGGAGCACGAAGGUUGGCUAAUCCUGGUCGGACAUCAGGAGGUUAGUGCAAUGGCAUAAGCCAGCUUGACUGCGAGCGUGACGGCGCGAGCAGGUGCGAAAGCAGGUCAUAGUGAUCCGGUGGUUCUGAAUGGAAGGGCCAUCGCUCAACGGAUAAAAGGUACUCCGGGGAUAACAGGCUGAUACCGCCCAAGAGUUCAUAUCGACGGCGGUGUUUGGCACCUCGAUGUCGGCUCAUCACAUCCUGGGGCUGAAGUAGGUCCCAAGGGUAUGGCUGUUCGCCAUUUAAAGUGGUACGCGAGCUGGGUUUAGAACGUCGUGAGACAGUUCGGUCCCUAUCUGCCGUGGGCGCUGGAGAACUGAGGGGGGCUGCUCCUAGUACGAGAGGACCGGAGUGGACGCAUCACUGGUGUUCGGGUUGUCAUGCCAAUGGCACUGCCCGGUAGCUAAAUGCGGAAGAGAUAAGUGCUGAAAGCAUCUAAGCACGAAACUUGCCCCGAGAUGAGUUCUCCCUGACUCCUUGAGAGUCCUGAAGGAACGUUGAAGACGACGACGUUGAUAGGCCGGGUGUGUAAGCGCAGCGAUGCGUUGAGCUAACCGGUACUAAUGAACCGUGAGGCUUAACCUU